rnacentral:lncRNA from 1 species
CGCGCGUGCCCGCCCCGAGCGCGUGCAACGGCGUCCGUCUGCCGCGAGGUGACGGAGCGGGCGGGCGGGUAACGAACGGCUCCCGGCGCGGGCGGUGCGGCCCGGCGGCGUCGGGGCUGAGGGGAGCCGCGCUCGGCGGCGAGCGGCUUUCCUUCAGCGGCCGGCGAGAAGCGCCGCGCGCCUCCCGGGCGCAGCGUGGGACGGAGCGGGCGGCCGAGCCGUGCGGAAACGGGAGCCGGGCUCGGAGCGUGUGGGUGUUCCUUCUCGUCUUUGUUUGUUUGGUUUUAGACACCGAAGGAAAGUUGCUCGUGCGUGCCGCAAAGCGCAGCGUUGCUGUACGAACCGUUAUUUUUAACGCGUGAAGAGUAAGCUUGGGUUAGGGGAUGGAUGGACGAGAGUAAGGUUCUGCUCCUUGCUCCGGUCUCCCCCAGUGCAGAAAGUGGCAGAGAGAACAGCAUUCCGAAUGAGAGAACGUGGAUUUCCUUUUGGAAGGAAACAGUCCUUCUGACAGUGCUGCCUUUACUUUUAUUCCCGUGGUACCGACAUCCUUUCAGCCACAACCACAUGGACACACGAGUAUAAACGUUCUCCUUGCUAUUAUCACGGCCCCUUCAUUCUUCUGUUCCCUUGAAUUCAGCUAUAAACGCCUUCCAGAAGUAACCAGACGUUGUGGUCUCCAUAGGAAUAUCGUAUGUAAGCAGCAGACAUUGGAAGGUGCCUCAAUAAGAGCAGCGGGAUAGGACAUCCCAUCAGCCCUUAGCACCCCGAAUGCAGCUCAGUGUGGCAUCACCGCUUUCUGAAUGAGAAGCACUGCAGAUGGGUUUACGCUGGGCCGAAAGAAUUGGUUUCCCUAUCCCAGUCUCAUUCUUCCCUUAUAUAGUUCCUGUCUCCUGUUUGCCUGGUGCUGUUUGUUUUGGUUAGAGAAGAAAGCAAGCCAGCAAACUGAGUGUUGCUGAACAUUGAAGAAACACUGAACGCUGUUGUCAUAACAUUAACUCAGUAGAUCACAGGAUAUCCUUUAGUGUUAACAUCUACAUCCACUAGAUAGCUUUACAGGGAGGAGCUAUAUUUGUUAAGUCCAAGGGUGAGAAGAGAUCCAAUUGCAUUCCACAUGAAGCAAAGCAGUUUCAAAGGUAAGUCACAACUUUAUGAUCUCUGUAUGACAGCGAAGACCGAGUUACUGCAAAUGGCAACUGUUGGUUUGAUUUCUUAAGAAGAGACAUGUGGCAAAGAAAACCAAUGAGAAUUUGUGAAAAAAAAAUUCUUAGGUGUAGAUAUAGCAGCAGUGAGUUUAACAAGCACGGGUACAGCAUUAGAAAUAUGGAGCUGGUGUGAUGUGGCAUUGUUAGAUGAGAUUUCUUAUUUCUGAAGAUGGAAAGUAUCAGAACAUCAGCAUGAUGGUAGCUUCCAAGCUGUAGCUCAGCAGUGGCAAACCUGAGGAACAGUCAGUGGACAGAAGAAAUACCACAUUAGUACUCUGAGUCUUAAUAAAAACUAGGACAAUACAAAGCUUUGUCUGGGCUCUCAAGUUUUUUUUUCUGGUGCCAAUAUUUCUGCUUUUGUGCUGACUUCUGUUACCAUAUCCAGCUGUUCAUACUACUUUAGAUUUUUAAUUUAAGCAGUCUCCUGACUGAAGAAAUUCAGGUGCUUCUUAUAUGGGCUGACAUGCACCUCCAGAUAAGCAUGUAAUGAUGUGUAUCUUUACAGCUGAAAUGUAUUUUGAUAAUAUCUGAGCUCCUACUUUUUAAAGGUGAAAUUGUCAGUAGGUGGUGAUUUUAAGUGAUUUACAAGUAGAAUCCUUUGAUGUUGUUGCAGUUAUUGAUGGCAGGAUGUACAUAAUCUGUGUAUUACUGCAAAUAACAUUAGUAGUCCAACACUUCAUCUUAGCUAUGUGAAAAAUCUUAAUGAAAUUCUAUUACAUUUUAGAACAUCAUUUCUAUGCAAUAUAUAAUAUACAAAUUGAUUUUUUUCCUCCCUGAAGGGACCAUUUCCUAAUAAAUAUAAAGAUGAUGGGCUAUCAAAUUCAGCAAAUAGCUGUCAGAAUUCUGCCUUUAAGACACCAGAGAACUACAUAAUUGUACACCAUCCUGCUCUUUUGCAUGAGCUUAUUUGGAGAACAGUGAGUUGGUUCAAUUUAUUUAUAGUAAAAAUGCAGGAUUUUUUCAAUUAUGAAACUUUUGCCAGGUUUCACUUCCACAAAAUUAUUUAAGCACAAUUUGUCAUCCCAUGGAAUAAUUAAAAUUAAAGAUGUAUAAUAAAAAGAUUACUUUCUUCCCAGGUAACAUCCCUAUAAAAAGUAUAGCUUACACCAGAUUGUAUUUUAUCAUAAAAUCUGCACAUUCAGUGAAAUAACAUUAAACUUAAGAAUACAUGCUAAUAUUUUUUUGGCAAUUAAUUCCCUGACUUGCUAACUGGAAUUGAAAUGUAGGCAUUUCAUGGACUUUGCUCGUUAAUACUGCUAGAGAUUAAACCUAACUUGGCAGCUGGUUUGGUUUUUAGAGAUGUCUGUCUUAGCACGAGUAUCAGAUGCAUAAAUACAUUCUCAAAAAGAUCAAAAUGGGUCCAAAUAUGAUCAAUUUUUGGAGAGGGGGUUGGGGGCUGUGAGGGUUAGGGAGCGGAAUUAAUCAGUUUGUCUCAUUUCCAUGUCUUUUGGACACCCACUUUAUUGACCCUAAAUCACUGAGACAGGUCCUUGUUAAUGAACCUUUCAUUUGAAUUCUGUUAUAAUUACAUUAUAUUGUCAGCAGGUGUAAUACAAGCCAGUAAAGAGACCGUGUUGACUUACACCUCUUGAGGGUCUGGCCUGUGUUUCAGCAUGUUUGAGUAGCAUCUCAGCUGUUAGGUGGUGUUUUGCCAUUUAGUUAAGUGUGUGAAGCCUUCAUAGGAAUUAAUGUACUCAGAAGUUCAUCAUACUUAAUGCUACCUUACACUAGAUAUAUUGUAAGAGCUUGGACUGGGAAUAAAAUGUUAUUCACUAUUUGUUUUGUUUGUAAAUAAAAAUGUAACCUUUGCCUUGAAGAAUGGUGUCUGUAUAAUAGUGCCUUGACGGAAAACAUUCAAUAAGAUCUUACUUCUUGAACGCAAAGAGUGAUGUUGACCAGAAUAUUAAGCAUUCAAAACUUAUCAUAAACUGUUAGAUUUCAUUAAACUUGUAAAGUGUUUUGAGAUUAAUUUGGUUUUAGUAUUCAAAAUGAUAGUCUAGUAAGAAUCAUAGAAUCAUAGAAUCGCUAAGGUUGGAAAAGACCCACAGGAUCAUCCAGUCCAACCACUUGCCCUUCACCAAUGGUUCCCGCUAAACCAUGUCCCUCAACACAACAUCCAAAUGCUCUUUGAACACCACCAGGGUUGGUGACUCCACCACCUCUCUGGGCAGCCCAUUCCAAUGCCUGACCGCCCUUUCAGAGAAGUAGUAAGACAGCCUAUGUAGAUGACUCUGCAGAACAAAAUAUGUAACUAAAAGUUAUUUUUCUACAAAACAAAGAGAAAGGUAACAGAAUUCUGUAAUAGUGACUGCAUAACCAUAUCUUCUGGAGAUUGAAUAUGAGAUCAAAAGAAAAAUAAAGGAAGAUCAUGCAAUUAAGAUCAUUAGCUCAUCAGUGUGGAAGUAUUUUGUCCUAGCUACAGAAAAUGAGUAAAUUGUCUGGUUUUAAAAUGAUAAAUUUAUGGUUUCUGCCUGUUCCUGUACAGGUAAGCAUGCCAUCAGCAUUUCUUAGGUUAGUUUCAUUUUGAUUAAUUGUUAAGACCAAGUUGUUUAUCAAAUAUAACCAGAAACUUACAUAUUGUCCAGGAAGUGAUGACACUCACUUGUAAGUGUAAGUACUCUUAUUUCAAACAACUUGUCUCAGUAAUCCUGCCUAUGUACUUUUAAGCCUCCAUAUUUAGCUAAAAGCUACCUUCUUUGUUUAAUCCAAUAGACUGUUUUAACAUUCGUACUCAGUACUGUGUACGAUUACAAUCAUUUAUCAGCCUGUUUUUAGUGUCUUAACUGCAGCUCCUGCUCCUUUUUUCAGCACUGACAUUUUGUUGAACACAGUGCCCAUUACUUUGGCCUUGACGAAACUCAGAGUCCCAUUUUACCACAUCAGAAACUGUAGAUGAAGACUUGAAAUACUUCUGUAACUUUGGGCUUGCUGCUGCUUCCCUAUGUGUAUGGUAUAAUGGCGCAUAGUGAUAAACCAUCAAAUUGUUUAGUUUGCAAGAGUGAACACAUGUAGGUAAAGCGGGCAGCAGUUUCACAUUAACAGAUAAAUCUCUUGAUUAAAUUCAACUGUUUUUGCUCAACAGUAGUGCUUUAUUGCCUUUAGGAGUGAUGUUAUGUUAAGAGGAGGAAGAACAGUUGGAUAUGAAAAUGUAUUUAAAUGCUUCCAGGAUGCUCUUUUUUCUCAGGUGAAACACUUUAAAAGUGUAAAUAGAAGCCAUAAGGAAACACUGCAAAUCCUCAUGGGGUUUUACCCAAACAAUGAAGACUUUAUAUUGUAAAAAAAAAAACAGGCUCUCCCCUAUUUGUAAAAACACAUUUGAAUUCACUAGGUAAAAAUAAAGAUAAAGGUAUGCUAUGGAAAUGUUACCAACUUCGAAUCUGUAAUGAUUUGGUAAUGCACGUGUAUUAACUUCCAGUUGAUUAAACUUUAUAUGCUUAUUUAUAGCUAAAAUGUAUCUAGCAUACUUUGGUACAAAGUAAUGAUGUAGAAGUAAUCAGUCAUGUGCACCUGUUUGAUCUUUCAUGCAAUGAAAGAAUAAUAAUUGCCCUGCAAACAUGAAGGCAUCACAUUUAGAAUGGUUCUUUUGUUGCUUGGAGGUUUUUUGUUUGAAUUAACAACAACCUGAGAGGAAAAGACAUUGAAAGUGAGUGAAUUGGACACGGCAGUAGUUUUACCAGAGUUGAUCGAUGAAACCCAGAAGUUUGCAUUAUGAUAGCUUUGCACUAAUGUUCAAUUAGUAGUAACUAGUUAGCUCUGAUUGAUGCUUAAUAUACCGAACUCAAACACUUAGGUUUAUAUCACUAACUGUUUUCUCACUGCAGUAUCAUUUAUGCCAUUCCAUAAUGAUUCCUAUGGUGAUUGCUUAUAUAAGAGGAGUUUCUUGUUUGAAAGUCGAGAUCAGAUGUCAGGUAGCAUUAAGAACUGGAUUUAUGUCUUUAAAAUUUGGCAUAGUUUAUUCCCUUCAGUUACCUCCCCAGCCAGACCUCCUACAUAAGUAGAUCUUCACCAGAUCUAAUGGUGUGACUAAUGUAUUUCUGAAUACGAUGACUUCAAAUUGGUGUAAAAUAUAUUAAUUUGGCAUGCAUCUUAAAAUAACCAAGAUGUUCAGAUCUUGAUUCUUCUUACUGCUCAACAAAGAAGAGAUUCAGAGGGGAUAGACAGAAAUGAUGCUUUAAGCAAGAUCAUGCUUCUGAGAGGUCUAGCUAGGAGCACUUGUAUAGAAGACAUAGAAAUACAUUAGCAUGGGACAUAAACGAGUGUGAAAUCAUUUAUUUCCUCUAUGUAAGGUAACAAGAUUCCAGUUGCCAGACUAGUUUGCCUAAUUAAAUUUAUCUUGUAUUUUUAUGUGAAUGAUUUAUAAACUAUUUUUAUAAGUGGGCAUACCUUAUUUAAGGUGUCUUCACAAGGCAUUUUUGAGUUUAGUCUGUGCUUUACCAUUUACUUGGAAAGUUAGUCUUCAAUGACAAAGUGACUAGCAGAAACUGAACAUAAGUGUAAUGUCAAUGUAGAAUCAGGUAUGUUCUGUAUACUAGAACUACUUAAUCCUUAGACAUAGUUCACAAAUACAAAUCUAAAUUAUUUAGACAUGAGAUGCAAACAAUAUGUUCCAUGAGUGGCAAGCCUAUUUUUUCAGAUGAGAAAUAUAAUGUCUUUUCUCCCUCCAAUUCCUAAGCAAGAUUUUAGUGCCAGACAGCUGUGUGACAACUGGGGCAAUUAGAGAAGUUUGUCAGACCUGCAGCAUUGUGAUACCUGUUUCCCAGACAGACCUCUAAUAUAGGCAUAUCUCAUCCUUAAGGAAGAGUUCUCCCUGUGUUAUAAAUCUUUACUGCUGAAGUACCAUGCAAGGCUACUUUUCUGAGGAUUCCUGAGUUACUUGCGCUUCAUAGAAGCCUUCAGCCUCACUUCAGUUCCACGUUUGGAACUACCUCGUGUUCUUUCCAAACUAUUUUCAUAAGAUCUUUGACCAUCUGUUGACCUUUAUCAGAUUACUGCCUAAAGAUUUUUGCCAGAAGCUUGACACUCCAAUUAUUGAGAGUGAUAUGUAGAACAAUCCUGCAAGCUUCAAUUGACGCAGUGGGGACAGCUGUCUGUGCUUUCACCUACUCUUUAUUUCUUAGGCCAUUUUCUUGGCUUCUGCAUUUCCAGAGAAAAUAAAACAACUACAAAGAAUGAUUGUUAAGCAUCCAUUCCAAAGAGGCAUCACAUACUGCGAAGGGUAUGAGCUGGAAUAUCUUACCUGUAUCAAGCUGAAUUAGCAAGACUAGCUAUUCUUCUACUAACUAUUCUUCUACUGUUGUAGACUACAGGCUUGUGACUGAGUGUGAAUCAUUACUGGAAUGCUUUUCUAAUAACACAUGCUUUCAGGUUGUUGUAAUGUAUGCUUGAUUUCUUGGCUAGAAGUUGUCCUUUUGGUGCCUUGAGAUUUAGGGGAGCUGUGCUGUCCUCCUGAGCAGUAAAGCAUCAUCUAUCAGAUGUUUCUGCUAGCAGACUGCCUGGGUUCUUGAAUGAGCUGGGUAAUACAUUCAGUAUUUUGAAGCAUCCAUAUCAAUAUCACAUGCAGGAUCUCUGAGACUGUGCUCUAGAGACUUGUCUUCAAGAACAUAGUUAACCAUACUGAUCUCUCCUUUGGUUAGGAGUACAGCAUGCCACACUUCUCACUCCAGAAUGUCCAGACCUGUUUUUUUUGUCAGCUAUUAAAAGAGAUGUUUUAACCAUGCAUGUGUUUUCCAAUCUUGGGAAUUGUUUGGAGGAUAAGCUGGGAUAAUUAUGAUCAUUUUAAUAGCUAAAGCUGGCUGGUUCAAGCAAGACUUAUUUCAGAAUCCACAUUCUUGCCAAAAUCUGCUGGGUCUUUCUGUACAGUGCCUCAAGCCAUUGCUUUUACAUCAAGAUCUCUUAAGUAUUAAUGUAAGGCUGACUUGACAUCAAGAUUUCAACUUCUCUAUUGAAUUUUCUAUUCAAGCUCAUUAUUGAAAUUGUAUUUUUUAAUGUCCAGAGACUGUUUAUUUAUCCCUUAGAGAAACAACCUGAUUAAUGGAACAAAAAGAGGCAAAUUUACUUGUCCAGAUAGACUUCAUUUGCCAAGUGAUACACAGAAAAGUCAAUUUCCCUUUCCUUGGCCUCAUUGUCUGGAAUUCUGCUUUGUUUCCUGGAUGGAGCUGAGUUCUUCUGGCAGCUCAAUCUAUUUGACAGCUGUUUCAGCACUGCACAGAUUCUUUGUUUUUGUUGAUACUAUAGUAAUUGUAUACUGAAGUGCUUGUUAAUAUUUUUGUCUCCUUCGUGAAGUAGUUUUCAAGUACAGUCUGGAUGUUAUGGUGGUUUCCUCUGUUUCUGAAUGCUUUUUGAGUGGUCAGAAAUGGUACUUAAGCUUUCGUGUGCUUGUUGAAUGUUCGUCACAGGUUCUACACCAUUUAUGCUAUUGAGAUCUUGGGAAGAGAUAGGCAUUGAAGUGUUAGUAUAGAAGAAGAAUAUACUCAAAAUCAGAUUAAAGGUUAACUACUUUUUGAAGAAAAGACUGUAAAAUGUAGAUAUGCGUGUGCCACAGCGCAACUUAAAACUGACAAUUCCUGAUCUGUGAAACAUUCUAUAAAACUCACAUUCACUAUUUUUCAUAGCAGAGAUGGCAUACUGCGUUCAUCCCAGGCCAAUAACCAGAGAAAGUUGGUCAGUUUAAUACCAAUGCCCAAAAGCCUGUUACAGGACAGAUAAAUCACACCUGAAUAAUGAAGCACUGCUCUCACUUUCGCUUGUAUGCUUCAGUUGCACAGUGUUACAUUAUUCAAACUUAUUAUAAAAAUGCAAGUGUUCAUAAAGUUACUAUUCUGUUUGCCAAUACAAAUGCAGAGAUCUUCUGAUUAUUUUCUCUUUUUUUCUAAUUAUUUUCUCUAUUCCAAAUACGCAAUCAUGUAUUCAUCUGAAGAUUUGUUUCUGGUGAUAUACUGAUGCAAUAAACACACCUCAAAUGUUUUGGUGCUAAGGGAUCUGUCAUGAACAAGACAUAUAUCAAAUAAAUGUAUGACUGCAUAUAUCAUAAAGCAGGAAACAGCUCUGUGGAUGUGUUGACCAUGUAGUGAUAUGCUAAUAACUAUUGCAGAGAUUUUUAGAUACCUCACUGGUUUGAGGCAGGGUUAUAACAAGCUUGUCUGGAAUUAAUCUAGAGCCCUUCAAGCUUUUCACUGAAUCCUUCCAUAAACUGGGCUUAGAAGCCAAGGGCUGCACCCAAUACUUGAGAUGCAGAAAAAGCCUGACAUCAAUGGGAUUUGUUCACAAUUUAAGCAUGUACGUAUGAUGCACUGUCUGAGCUCAGUCAUGUGUUGGCCAAUUGCAGACAAUGGACUUUACACUACCAAAAGCUUUCUUACAUUUGUUGGGACAGGCCUUGGUUUCUGCUUCCACUGUUGUUAGUUUUGGAAUAUAUGCAAUAAAGAUGGCAAUGCCAAAUAAAAUUUGUACUGUGCAAACGGGGAUAUGAGUGAUAGCAAAGCUGUUAAAAUCCAUGUAGCAAAAUUAGGAACUUGGCAAAUGCUUUGGGGGGGGGGGGGGGGAAGGCUGAUGACAGCAAGGCUGUCAGACUACAGCAUAAUCAAACAUUUAUUCUUUUCUUGUGUAGUAAUCCUGUAUUGUAGCUUUUCCUAAUCAGAAACUGAAGCCAUGCUGUGAAUAGGUUGGGUCACUUUUUGAAAAAAUGUGCUGCAGAAAUACCAGAAUUAUUGCCUAAGUAGUGAUUUAAUAGAGCAGUAAGUUCAGUACUCACGUAGCGCUCAAAAUGCCUGUACAUAGAAGUGUCACAUUCUUAAUGUCAUGGCUAGGAACAUGAAAUAAUUCCUAGGGUUGUCAUUUAAACAAAACAAACCAAAAGCCUCCAUUUAAUGGACUCUCACAAAUUUGUGUAUGUGAAUGUAUUUCCAUUUUUAAAGAAAUUUGGCAGCAUGAGAUAGGGCAAAACCAUUCUGCCAACUUUCUAUUGUGUGAUCCGUGUAUAAGUACUCACUGUAAAAUAUUUAUGGAAUACAAAUACAAAACUAAGAACAUAAUACUUUGUCUUGCCAUUAAAUUAAUAUGACAGCACUGUCUGCUGUAAGGAAAUAGGAUCCAUUAAUGGUCUCAUGGAUUGCAAGUCUUUCUAUCUAUGUCUCUUUACCACUGGGUCUGUGAUUUCCAACCUUUGCUGACAGUUAAGCUUAAUUCUUUCACCGGUAGAGAUCUUGAAAAAUUUCAGCACUUGUAUAACUAAUAAUAAUGCUUACAUUAUAAAAUGGCCACUAAUAAAGGAGUAAUUUUCCUAGCUGCGUUACCUCCAAAUAUAGACUCUUUACAUCAAGUAAGACAUUCUCAAAAAUUAAAAAAAAUAUAACCCCAAGAACAUAAAAAUACGCAAUGUGCAAUCCUGUGUGUUAUGAUAAUGACCGAUUUUCACAUAUGUAGCUUUUUUGAUAAAAGAUGUAUAUGAAACUGGACUGGUGGCUUCAUGUGUCAGUCUGAAAAUGGGUUAUUAAUUCCAGCUGUAUUUUAAAUAUGAUGCCUUGAGAAACAUAAGGGGCAUUUAAUGUGAAGUGAUGGUCAACCAUGGUGACUUGAGACUCCAUUAGGUUUAAAGGGAAUUAACUAAAUAGGGCGUGUAACCUGGAGGGUCUUCUGGAACAAAUGCGAUAGCUAUUUCUGCCCCCCAGUAUUUGUAGACUACAGUGGAUAAGAUUUUGUUGUUAUUGAUUUUUCUUUUCCUUUAAAGGGAGUGAUAAAGACUACUUUCCAAGGCCUGUCUUCUGUAGUUCAUUCUCCUGAUUACCAUUUCUUAGAGAUCCUUGUAUUCUUUUUUCAGAAGAAUAUAUCCACCCUUUCUCAGGUUGACCCAAGUGAUUGAUCAUCAAAGGAACUUUCACCUUAGGAUACCAAAAUAGCACAUUACAAAUUUUUUUUGUCUGUUUUGCUAUUCUGAGUUUCACUUCAAUAGAGAACACCUGCAAAGUCACAUAACUUUGAUUUUUAUUGAUAAUCUUAGGAAACAUGGAUGGUGGUGGGUUUUUGUUUGCUGAUUUACCUUAUGAUUUAAAUUUGCAAUGGCAAAACUGAAAGGCAGUGUUGCUAAUACUGAUAUUUUGUGGUUUGUAUUGAAAUGCAAGGCAACACUAUAUAGCAUCAAUGUUAUUUCAUAGCCUAAUUCAGCACACUUCCUGUUAUAUGUUCUUGGCUAUGCCACCUGUCCUAGGAGCAGCCUACAACUUUGACUGGCUUGUGACCUUUCAAGUCUCUUGAGGCUAUUAUUGACCGCUUCUUUCUAUUGCUUCCUUUUUAAUGUAGUGUCAUGACUAUGUCAAACCAUGACAGAUAGUUUUGAUGGUUUUGGGGUUUGCAUGGAUAUACAAAAAGUUAAGCUUGCUGAUAAGUGUGCCUGAGUGGUACCUGGAUAUGAUGUGGUCUAAUCUGAGCCUGACAGAUGACAUUCCAGAGAGCGGUAGUAAUUCUGUGGGAUGGAAAAUAUUGAACUUCAUUUUUCAUUACCUCUUUUUUGGACUGCCUGGACAAUAACCACAUCAUCAGGUUCCCUGAAUGUGAUUGGCAUUAUUUUUAACACCUUACUCAGCCUUUAUAUCUUCCAAAGCAGGAGAGAACCUGAACCUUCUCCAAGGUUAGAGAAUACAGAGAAUAAACCCCCCAGUAGUCAAAUUCCCAAUGCCUACUAGAUAUUAAACAAUGGAUUUUUAUUUGAGGAAGAUUGAGAUUAAUAGAUUUACACUUCUUCUCCAGAAAGUAUGUUUAAGAGUAAACUAUGCUACAUGAGUCAUUAAAUGCAGGCUAAAUAAAUUAAUGUAACAUAUUUGAAUGUUAUAAAGGAAUGCCGAUUCCAGCUUGCUCAACAGCAACAGCACUGCUGUUUGCAAGUAGUAACUUACCCAUCUGACAGGGGGCAUCUUCACAGGAGCUGUCCUUCUGCUUUUCCAAGGGGAUGGAGAUGCUGUGUUAGUUCUGUUAUGCUAGCGCAACAGUUUUAUUUCUUCUUUUGCAGUCUGCUGUGCCUAAGUAGCACGGAAUAUGCGGUCACUGGGAGUAAUACCACUCACCACAAUGGAGCCAGUCUGUUACCAAAAGAAAUCCAUAAAACUGUCAGAUUAUAGUACACAAGAACACAUUGGUUUCAUGUAGUUUCAUGAGUGGUAUCUCAAAUGUGGGCUUGGUGGAAUGUCGUUUUCUCUAAUGAGUCAGCAGAAGGGAAGGCAUAAUGCCCUUUCCUUUUAGUUCCUGUAUGUUAAUCUCUUCAGAGCAAGCUUGCCAUAGCUCAGGUGUCAGAUGCUGUUUAUAACUAUGCUGGAAACAUAACAGAACAAAAUAGUAUCAUUAAUUUCUCUUGGGACUUUAUAUAAGCAUUUUAAGUUACCUGGUUUUUUUUCAGUGCUGCACUUAAUUCAAGCAUUGUAUCAGCAGCUUUGUAAGGUGGCUUGAAAAGUCUUUCUGUCUAUGAAUUUGCCCAGUUUCUCUUUGAAUCGGUGGCCAAAUGCCAGCUGUGAUUUGAGACGUGUUGAUCACCUUGCCUUGUUUAUCUAUUAUUUAAUCUGAAGAUUCCUAUUCUUAACAGCCAUUCCUUACAUGAAGCUAUUCCCAUCGUUUGAAUCAUCCUUUCCCUUUCUCCUGUACCUUCUCCAGUAUGUAAGAUAAUUUUAAGGUGGGAAGCAAGAACUGCACCCACUAUUCAAGUCUGAAUGGCUACAGCAGCAGUGUGGAUUUAUACAUUGGCAUAAUAAUGCUUUCUAUUUUGUUCUUUCCUAAUAAUUCCAUCCAUUUGGUUUGGCCAUUACUGAGAAUCUAACAUGUUUUCAUGGAACAGUCAAUUGUGUAUUUCUCUGAAGUGAGCCGCAUUAUCAGGCUGCUAAUCAUGAAACCAACAGUGAGGAAAAUGCUAUUUUUUUCCUCAGAUUGAUGUUUUGUAAGUAGAGUAUCUUAAAUGUGAGUAUAGGUUUAGUUCUACUUUGCAUUCCUGUCAUAUUUUAUAUUGCUGUUUCUUCUUGUGAUAUAUUGAUUGCUGCUUGUCAUUCACUUUUUUCCUCCUCAAUUAAAAUUGUACUUUUUGAUCCUCAUCUUUCUACGAACUUUAGUAUUCUAGAGAACUAUGCAAGUAUAUAAUAACUCCCUUUACAACUCCUAUCAAAGAAACUGACGGAUGCCAUUUCCUGAAGCUUUUAUUAUAAAAUUAAUGUGUUGUGGACAAUUGUGGCAGUUUUCAGGUGCAGAGGUCAGCGCAGCACUUAUGCACUGCUUGAAUUUUAGACACCAUAAUUUAAGGCCUUCAUUCAAACUUUCUUAACUUCAGAUGACUGGAAAACCACCAACUUCAUUCAUUUUAGUAAUUAUUUGCUAUAUUUGGAAAGAAAUGUGAAAACAUAAUUCUGGUUUGUCUUUUUUUAACUGAAAAAGUUAUGUGAUUUUUUUUUUUGCUUUGUCUCCUUUCUGUCAUUUUGUACUUAACUAUUGUAUUUUACAUUAAAAUACGUCAAUGUUAGGUACUUUUAAAGACCACCACACUAAAAUCUGAAUAGAAACACACUGCGAAGCCACUGACAGUAUCCCCUACCUGUAAAGGGCUCAUACUGAGCCUAAGAGGUGGCAUACAGGAGUAUUCAGAAGGAAGUGAAUGACUUCCUUCCAUUGUAAGCUUUUCCUUGUUUGUAGAGAUUAUUCCUGACUCUAAUGCCUGCUGUGCUGCUGCCUUGGGAAUAUCACAGCAAUUAUGUAGAAGCACUUGGAGAGCAGAUGAGACUCCAUCCGGUGCCUGCAUCGCUGCUUUCCCUUGCUUAUCUAUAAAGGUGGGGGAGAAGCUUCUGUGCAACCCUUUGCACUGUUGCAUUACGAGGUUGGAUAGUGAUAGGACAAGGGGGAAUGGUUUUAAACUGAGGCAGGGAAGGUUUAGGUUAGAUGUUAGGAGGAAGUUUCCCACACAGAGGGUGGUGAUGCACUGGAACAGGUUGCCCAAGGAGGCUGUGGAUGCCCCAUCUCUGGAUGCAUUCAAGGCCAGGCUGGAUGUGGCUCUGGGCAGCCUGGUCUGCUGGUUGGCGACCCUACACAUAGCAGGGGGUUGAAACUGGGUGAUCAUUGUGGUCCUUUUCAACCCAGGCUGUUCUAUGAUUACUUUAAUCAGCUUGGUUUAGAAGAAAUUUAAUAGCAAGACCUCGAGUUAAUUUUGUUUUGAUUGUAGAGAGGAAAAAGAUGACUUGACAUUUAAUGUGCUUAUGUUACAAUGUAUUUAACUUCUAGAAGCUCUUCACGUGUAUGUAUUUCAUCUGAUUUUCUUGUGUGAAGUUUUAGAGAAAUCCCCCCCCCCUCUUUAUGGCCAAAAAUGUGGCUCCUAACAUCACUUCCUCCACUUAUCAGUACAUAUGCAGAACAACAGUCUUGGCAUAGUUUAGCAUUCCAUGAAACCUAAUACACCUAAUGCCAAACCAGAGGAAAUAUCUGUCUAUUGUUCUCUGACUGUAGGUGGAGUGAACGGACUUGGAGGGAGUCACUUAUUGCUGUAGGAAGUUAUUACAGAGUGGCCCCAUAGCGGGGCCUACAGCAAUAUUUACUGAGUGCUCUGAAACUGGGAAGCUGCUCAGCUUCAAGCUCACUUAAUAACGCAUUUAUAUAUCCUGUUGCAAGGCAGGUCAAACACUGCUGAAGAAAGGAAGUUAUUUCAGCUCGAGUGAGGUUUUAUUAAUCACAAAGCUGAAAAAUAGUAAGUCGGGUAAUUAAAAUCAGUUGGUUUGGAUGGCUUUUAUUCCAGGCAAUAGCGUAGUCCUCUCCAGUGGCAAAAGGUGUGCAAGAGGAUGUUAUCCAAUGCUAAGAGAAAUGCCAUCGGACCAGAGGGUGAUGGCACAUGGCUCCCAUUUGAAUGACUGUGAUUCCAGCAGCUGAAUGCUGCUUUAAAAAUAACACAGCAUGCUCUGCUUCUCUCCUGUCCUUGUGCUCGAGCCGUGUGCUGCUGCAGAGCUUUUCGUAGUAAGUCACUGCGGUUUUGUACUUGCUUUGCAGAUAAACUACAUGCAAAUGUUCGCGAUGAUCCAAAAUAAGAGCUCUGGUGGCCGCUUGAUUUAUGUUAA